GACGAACGCUGGCGGCGUGGAUUAGGCAUGCAAGUCGAACGGUAUCAUCCUUUCGGGGGUGAGAGAGUGGCGAACUGGUGAGUAACACGUAGGUUAUCUACCCUCAAGACGGGGACAACCCAGGGAAACUUGGGCUAAUACUGGAUGUGAGCAACUUUUAGUUGUUUGAAAGGUGGCGUAAGCUGUCGCUUGGGGAUGAGCCUGCGUCCUAUUAGUUAGUUGGUGAGGUAACGGCUCACCUAGGCAAUGAUAGGUAGGCGGCCUUAACGGGUGGUCGCCCACACUGGGAUUGAGAUACGGCCCAGACUCCUACGGGAGGCAGCAGUCGAGAAUAGUCUACAAUGGUCGGAAGACUGAUAGUGCGACGCCGCGUGAACGAUGAAUCCCUUCGGGUGUAAAGUUCUUUUAUAUGUGAGCAGUGCUUCUUAUAUUAACAGUAUGGGGAGAGAGAUAUUAGCAUAUGAAUAAGCAACGGCUAACUCCGUGCCAGCAGCCGCGGUAAA
rnacentral:rRNA from 1 species